GACGAACGCUGGCGGCGUGCUUAACACAUGCAAGUCGAACGGAAAGGCCCUGCUUUUGUGGGGUGCUCGAUUGGCGAACGGGUGAGUAACACGUGAGUAACCCGCCCUUGACUUUGUGAUAACUUCAGGAAACUCGGGCUAAUACCGGAUAGGAGCUCCUGCUGCAUGGUGGGCGUUGGAAAGUUUCGGCGGUUGGGGCUGGACUCGCGGCUUAUCCGCUUCUUGGUGUGGUAGUGGCUUACCAAGGCUUUGACGGCUAGCCGGCCUGAGAGGGUGAACGGGCACAUUGGGACUGAGAUACGGACCAGACUCCUACGGGAGGCAGCGGGGGGGAAUAUUGCAGAAUGAGCGGGAGCCUGAGGCGGCAACGUCGCGUGCGGAAUGACGGCCUUCGAGUUGUGAACCACUUUCGACUGUGACGAAGAGGGAGUGACGGUAAUGGAUAAAGAAGCACCGGCUAACUACGUG
rnacentral:rRNA from 1 species